GUUGGGUGUGGUGAUGUGCACCUGUAAUCCCAGCCUCUUGGGAAGCUGAGGUGGGAGUAUUGCUUGAGCCCAGGAGGUCGAGGCUGCAGUGAGCCGUAAUCACGCCACUGCACUCCAGUCUGGGCGUCAGAGCAAAAUCCUGUCUCUA
rnacentral:SRP_RNA from 2 species